CACCCAAAGACACAAAGUUUGAGCACUUCCUUGAAUCCUUUCCAAUCUAUUCCUUCCAUUGGUUACAGGGAGCACAAAAAAUGAUCCUGUGGCUGAAUUUGAUGCCCUUACUAGUAUUCCUCCAAAGUGUCCAAUCUGAUGUUCAGUUGGUGGAGUCUGGAGGUGAUGUGAGAAGACCUGGAGGGUCUCUCCGACUCUCCUGCCAAGCCUCUGGAUUCACCUUCAGCAGCUACAGAAUGAGCUGGGUGAGACAGGCUCCAGGGAAAGGCCUGGAAUGGGUGGCCUACAUAAGUACAUCCUCAUCUCCAAUUUACUACUCGGACAAAGUCAAGGGACGCUUCACCAUCUCCAGGGAUGAUGCCAAAAGCCAACUGUAUCUGCAAAUGAACAAUCUGAAGGAAGAAGACACAGCUGUCUAUUACUGUGCGAGAGUCACAGUAAGAGGAAGUGAAUCCGAUGCAAAGCAAAAACCUUCUCUUCCUCUGAGCAGCUUUCCAAAUUGA